CGCUAGCUGCUCGCUCUCCCACGGUACUACUCGCACUCUCUCCUUUUUGAAAUACUUCUUUAUCGUAUCUAUUUAUAUAGUAUUUUUCCUCAUUGUACCAUCAGAUUGCAAUGUUGAUCGAGAUCUCUUUGUUUUUAUUUCUCGACUUUUUAAAAUGUUUUCCUUGAACCGAUCGUUAGUUGGAAUGUGCAGUUAGAUAUAUCCAUAUACCUGUUUUUGAAAUUUACAUACAUAUUCUUUUCUCUCGUUCUUUCAAUAGAAAAUGUGAGUGCAUUUUUAUUUAUUUAUUUUUUGUGUGUUUAGAGGUAUCGUUGAGUGAUGGUUGCGUGAACUGAGACAUUUUUCUGUGAGUUGUGUUGAGCGAGGCAGUUGACUGGCUCUGUUGCAAAGGUAAACACUCACGGCUUGCUGCUUUCCUGAAAUACAGUGCAGAUCGUUUUUAUCCUUUCCUUAGUGAAGAUCAUCAUUUUUUUAACCCUCUUCCUGGCUGAACCUUUUGAUUUUUACUCAAAGGAAGAAUCGCAUUUUGUUCUCUUCCUGUCCCCCCCCCCCCCCCCCCUUUUACGUAUUUUUGACUAGUUAUGUGAAUCCUGUGUGGAUCUUUUCUGUGAGUGGUUUGGCAUCUGGACAAGGAAGAGAGAGGUGGACAUUCAACGAAACGAAGAUGAGAGAAAAAAAAAGUCGUACCACUGUGAGCGCGUGUAAAGAAGCCUAGUGUUAUUGAACGCAGAGACAGAACGCAGCCUUUUUGACUCGUGUAAGUGAGAACAAACAGAACAUCAUUCAUAUUUGAUUCCGAGCGGCCUGCAGCUCACCGCUCUAAGGAUUUGGCGAAUCAGAGUUCUCCGGAGUCUAGAGAUGAGGGAUGGUGUCCUAUCACGGUCAGAUCUGCAUAACACAAUCAACAUUCAUCUUCCACGGACAGAGGGACGUGAACUUUGUGUUAUAAUGAAUGGAAAAUGAUUGACGAGCCAUGUCAAUAGUGAAGGGAAAAG